AGAACGAACGCUGGCGGCAGGCUUAACACAUGCAAGUCGAACGCCCCGCAAGGGGAGUGGCAGACGGGUGAGUAACACGUGGGAACAUACCCUUCGGUUCGGAACAACGUUUGGAAACGAACGCUAAUACCGGAUAUGGCCUCUGGGCGAAAGAUUCAUCGCCGAAGGAUUGGCCCGCGUUCGAUUAGCUUGAUGGUGAGGUAACGGCUCACCAUGGCGACGAUCGAUAGCUGGU
rnacentral:rRNA from 1 species